UUACGGAACAAGGGGAACCUAUACUGAUAGGCUGAAAGUGAGAUGUUAUCUCUUACCCUUCGAACCUGAUUUGGUUAGUACCAACGUAGGGAUGUUCAGCGAUUAAUUU
rnacentral:ncRNA from 2 species